UAAGGGGAUUUUCUCAGGGUCAUUGCAAAUCUGUUGCUAGCCUCAAGGAUCAUGCUAUCUUCGAAUUAAUGCAGAAUGACAGCAAGCUAGUUCCUCUCUGAGUUUGGAGGGGGAGGACUGACUGUCUUUAAAAUAUUGACAGUUGGUGUUUCAGAACAAAAAAGUUACCUUUUUGGGUGUUUGAAUGUAAAUUGAAUUAUGGAGCAAGGAGAGGAGAGCUUUGGUUUCAGUAGUUAUGGUGCUGUCGUUGAAAGGAGCAAUCAAUGAAUCAGAUUGAGGGGAUGCAGAGGCCCAAAUCAACUACUGCAGUAUGGCUGGCAAUCUCAGAGAGAUGACGACCUGCCAAAUUCCCGACACACAGGCGGAUGUCUGAGCCAUAAAAGAUGUGAUCUAGUA
rnacentral:lncRNA from 1 species